GAAACAGGUGCCCGUGGAACCUGGGCCUGACCCCGAGCUCCGGUCCUGGCGGCGCCUCGUGUGCUACCUUUGCUUCUACGGCUUCAUGGCGCAGAUACGGCCAGGGGAGAGCUUCAUCACCCCCUACCUCCUGGGGCCCGACAAGAACUUCACGCGGGAGCAGGCGAGGACAGGGUCUUGCCCUGGCUCCGGCUGUCGGUGGCGGGGCUGGGGCUGGAGCGGCGGAGCCAUCUCCUUGACCCCUCAUGAAAUGCCUUCUGCUCCUGGCCAGUCCGCCCCUCUCCCUGCCACCCACUGACCAGAUGGCAUCUCUGCUCUUAGUGGAGGGCCACUGUCCACCGCCAAGGUUAUUUAUAGGGAUGAGCAUUGUGUGUGGCGUUUCCCUUAAAAUAACAAAAUAAGAAAAGUCUCUAGAGCGAAAAUGUUUAAAUCCCAUCUGCCUGCCCUCUCGUGUUGUACAUUAACGGAUUAAAAAGUAGAUUCCAGAAAUUAAGCCAUUCCACCAGGCCUUGGAUGUCCUCAGAGGGACGAUGGGUGCAGGCGCUCUGCGCACCUGCCACUUGGUGAGGCCCCCGAUCUCAGCCCCUCUGGCUGCAGGAGAGGCCCGGGGAGAGCUUCAUCACACCCUCCCUCCUGGGGCCCGACAAGAACUUCACGCGGGAGCAGGCACGUGGGCGCCGGGGUGUGGGGGCGGCCACCAGUAGGUGG
rnacentral:sRNA from 1 species